GACGAACGCUGGCGGCGUGCUUAACACAUGCAAGUCGAACGGAAAGGCCCCUUUGGGGGUACUCGAGUGGCGAACGGGUGAGUAACACGUGAGUAACCUGCCCUUGACUUCGGGGUAACUUCAGGAAACUGGGGCUAAUACCGGAUAGGAAUCCUUGCUGCAUGGUGGGGGUUGGAAAGCUUCGGCGGUUUUGGAUGGACUCGCGGCUUAUCAGCUUGUUGGUGGGGUAGUGGCUUACCAAGGCUUUGACGGGUAGCCGGCCUGAGAGGGCGACCGGCCACAUUGGGACUGAGAUACGGCCCAGACUCCUACGGGAGGCAGCAGUGGGGAAUAUUGCACAAUGGGCGGAAGCCUGAUGCAGCAACGCCGCGUGCGGGAUGACGGCCUUCGGGUUGUAAACCGCUUUCAGCAGGGGCGAAGCUUGUGGUGACGGUACCUGCAGAAGAAGCACCGGCUAACUACGUG
rnacentral:rRNA from 1 species